rnacentral:tRNA from 2 species
GCUAGGAUAGCUCAGCGGUAGUAGCAGUCGUUUCAUAAGCGACCGGUCGUCGGUUCGAAUCCGACUCCUAGCA